UAGGGCAGGUCCCGGCGGAGGCGUGGCGAGGCAGGCCGAAGGAGUGUCUCAGGGGCAGUGUGUCUUACUGGAAACCGGAGAAGUCAGAAGCAGGAGUGCGUUUCCGUGAUCCGGUGUCACAAUGAUAAAUCACCCAGGGAUGUGCUCCAGGCGUUGGUUAAUGGGGAAAAUCUACACUCUGAUGCAUAGAAGCAAAACUCCAAUGUAACUUUCCAGACAAGCCGGGUCAGUGUUGCCACAUGGCAGGGUUCCUCAGGAACCCCAGCAAAGGCUCUGGUCUGGCCUCCAGUUCCUGUCUGUUCCUGUCUUGUGCCUCCUGCCACCAUCCCCACCACCAGUGCCCUUCCCUUGUGGUCCCAAUACCAUGCUGUGCUCCCCAUCC